rnacentral:rRNA from 1 species
UACGUAGGGUGCGAGCGUUAAUCGGAAUUACUGGGCGUAAAGCGUGCGCAGGCUGUUUUGUAAGUCAGAUGUGAAAUCCCUGAGCUCAACUUGGGAACUGCGUUUGAAACUACAAGACUAGAAUAUGUCAGAGGGGGGUAGAAUUCCACGUGUAGCAGUGAAAUGCGUAGAGAUGUGGAGGAAUAUCAAUGGCGAAGGCAGCCCCCUGGGCCAACACUGACGCUCAGGCACGAAAGCGUGGGGAGCAAACAGG